UUCUUUAUGUUUACUAACCAUUAAUCCAAAAUUGCAAAAAUAUGUCUUGUUUCUCUUUUAUUGUGUUGGACAGGAACUGAAUUCCGAAUAUCAAGCCUCAGGAGAUGAUUCGAAGAGUUUCAAAGUGAAAGUCAAUGUUUUGAGUUCAUUUCUAGUGGUGGUUUAAAGUUCCAUUCUCCUAGUAUCGUUUUAUGAUUUCAUAUUAAACUUUGGUCUUAAUUCUAAUUUUAUUUCAAAUUGAAAACAUCCUUUUUAAUUUGAUUUAUUGUUAGAAUUAAAAUUAAUUUUUAAUAUAAGAUCAUCUAGUUUUAUUAUUUCUAUUUCACCAUUGUAUUGUUUUUAGUUUGUUUUAUUAUCACUAACAUUUUUAUUUUUUAUAUUGGUACUAUCUUCUUUCCCUUUUAUGUCUUUUUUUAAUAGAAAGUAAAAGAUGCAAAUGGGCCCCUCAAAAGGUGAUGUCACGGUUCUAGGCAAGAAACAAGCCAAGUUCACAAUUUUUUCCCAUGCAGAGAUUCACGAUUUCUACCAGCCAAAGAGGGAGUCACGUUUUUCUCUUCAUCACAAGCUCACGUUUUCAGCCGAGAUUUCCAUAUUCAAUUCAAAUUUCACACUACAAGAGUCACACUUUGUUUGCUUCAAAGACAAAAUUCAGAACUUUCAUGACAAUGCAUCUCAGCCACUCAUCCAAGAAUUAUCAAAGGCUGAGAAUUCAUCAUAGAUUCACACGGAUCACACUCAAAACUUCAUCAAGCUCAUCACUCGUGACUGAAUUUUCCCUCUCAAUUGAUCACACCUUCCUCACUCACUCUCAGCCUAUAAAUUCAGUUUUUCAGAUCAGAGAAAGGGGGGGAGAAAAUUAGCAAUGUUAUGCUGCCAAAAUGGAAACUCAGAAAUUCUCCUCCAAAUACAAAACCUGUUAACCUGAGAAUCCUUCAUACACUUCACUCUGUAAUUUGCAGUUAAUAACACUUUUAGCUCUCAGAUCCACCAACUUCUCAUCGUCAUAGCUCCAACCUUCAUCAUUCAAUCAAUAACAACUUCUGAUUCAUUGAUUCCUUCAACAUCUGUUCACGGAUUAAACUGCAACUACACACCAAUUGAUUCCUUCAAUCGCGUGUGAUAACUCGGCAAGUACAACAAUGAUCAGCAACAUACCAUCAUCACCGACUUGGCGCCGCCACGAUUCAGCACGGUUAUGCGAUGCAUCUUCAAACGAUCUGAGUCAGAGCAACCACGCAGAUCUCAUAUUUCUAGAUUUCAGAAUCAAAUUUCGGAGUAGAAGAGGAGCACGGCUAUUAUCUCACCUCUGGAUUUCUAGACGUCAUCUCCUACAAACUGCAGAUCCAGGUUCCACACUCUAUUCGUAUCAUGUGGUGUGAUUGAUUGCUUGUUGUAUGAUGCCUUAAUUUGAUGUUAUAUGCUUGCUGUGUGAUGCUUCAAUCUAUGUUGUAUGAUUGUUGUUGCGAUGCCAUGAAUCGAGUUAUUUCGAUUGCUAUGCCAUGUUGCUAUUGCUUUUCCAUGAUUGUUGUUGUUGAAAGUUGUAUUGCUCUGUUUGUUCAAACCACAUGCUUCUGUUUGUUGUAUGAACCGAAAAUCAAAAUGAGUAAUUAGGAGAGGAAGCCGAGAGAUUAGGAGAAGAGAGAUGAGCUUGUUGUUGAUAUUUUGUUCUUGUUUUGUCUCGGUAGAAAUUAGAAAACAGAGUGAAGAGGAGAUGUUGUUGUUGUUGUUGAUCCGAAUGAGGGAGCCGAGAGUGAGGCCGUGAGAAUUGUUGUUAUCGAAACAGAGCAUCGUGAGGCUGAGGGAGAGAGGAGCAGAAACCGUGAGAAGCUUAGAGGGACCGAAUUUGAGAAGAAAGAGAUAUGAGGCGGACUAACUUACUUUCUUUUAGGGUUUGUAGUUCAUUUAGCAAACUUGGGCUCUUUUGUUACUGUUCCUUAAGCCCAAUUCUGAUUUCCUCUUGUCUUCAGCACCUUUAGCUUCUGCGCACCCCCUUGGUUUUGUCUUCAGAUUUUCUUUGGGCCUCUUGUGUUUGGGCCCAUCGCCGCAGUAUUAUGCACACCUCCUGUUUUGCUUAUUUGCCCAUGUUAUUCAUUUGUUUUUAUUUUAUUUUUAAUAUUGCUUUGAUUUUCCAAUAUACAAAAAUACAAAAACAUGUUUCAUUUUAAAUUUACUCUUUAUUUUCAUUUUCAUAUUAAAAACCACAAAAAUAUUUUAAUUUGUUUAUUUUCCUUUUUAACUACUCUUUUUUGUAUAUAUUCAUCUUUUAUAUUUUCUUUUAAAUUGCUUUGUUCGAUUUUCUUUUAUUUUCUUUUUAUGCACAUGUUAACUCCGUUCCACGACAAUUGUGUAAGUCUCCAAAGGUCGAGCAGCAGUGGAAUGCGACGUUUAACAUCACACACACAAAAUGUUUUGAGCCGAACUACGAUUGCUCUGAUUCCUAAAUCGGGAUACGUAGGUAUUAGGUCGCGGGGCCUAAACGAGCAUAAUCUUGUAUAUAUUUUCUUUCUUUUCCCCGUGUUUAUUUUCUCUUCUUUCUUUGUGCGUUUCCCUUUAGCUUUUAGCUUUAGAUUUUUAGAUAACACCCUUUGAUUUAGACUAACAAGAGCGGAUCCCGUCGAGUACGACGGACGUGAGGAGUGCUAACCCCUUCUCCUUGCGUAACCGACACCCUUACCUAGUUCUCUGGGUCGUAAGACCUUUGUUUGUUUUCUUUAUAGGUUUUAGUCGAUGUUUUCCUUUCCCAUUUUUGGGAUAAAUAAAUAAUCGAUGGCGACUUCAUUGAUUUCAUUUUGAUGAUUUCGAUCCAGUUGUUUCAGCUGGCGACUUCACUGGGGAAAGAUUGACCUUUGCUAGGCCCAUCCUGAGUGUCAGUCCUAGCUCUUGUUUGUUUUUAUCUUUGGGUGUUUUCUUUCUUCAUGCUUUAUUUGUAUAUUUGUAUAUAUUGCUUUAUUUGUAUAUUUGUAUAUAUUGCUUUAUUUGCUGUUAUAUUCUGGUUAUCUGGUGUUCUGUAUAUAUACUGUUCUGGAUCUGCUGUUUUUUUGGUGGGUGGGAUGUUACUGAGGUAAAAGGCCCAAUACACCGGCUAUGAGUGAUACCAUAGGAACUAGGACUAGAGUGGCCGUGACGGACAGAAGGCGUAUGCCUGAUUGAUCUGAUCACGUAUCCACGGGCAGAGCUUGGUGGAACGAGGCAACAUCGUAUGAUGGCGCCUACGUUCGAUCCUCUGUUGGCUUUUUGACCUAUCCAGGCUUAGAUUCACCCGUGAGGGGGGCGGGAAUCAAUCAAUUUACAGGUACAUUGCUGGUGACUAUGGUUCUUGUUCGAGUGGUUCCAUUUCUGUUUGAUGGUGACUGAGUUCUGAUCCUAUUGGUUACUGUGGUUCUGCUGGUUACUUGUUUGCAUCUGGCAUUACAUCUUGCAUUGCAUGUCAUUGCAUAGUUCUCACAUUAUGUCCAGGUUGCCCGAGAUCUUAUUUCCAGUUGUUCUUUCUCCCAGUUAAUUGUUGACCGUCAAGCUGUUUCCUCAACACCGCUACGGAACUAGAGCUGCUGUUAGACAAAGAAUGGCAGACCAAGAGAAACAUAACAUGGAAGUCAGAAUGGAAAUCGAUGAGUUGAAAUCAGGCAUGAUUAAGCUUACUGAGAUGAUGCAAGUGUUGAUGGCAAGGACUGAUCCACCUCAGAGGACUGUUAUUUCGGAAGUCUCUACUGCUGUUGUUGAUCCUUUAUAGGUUCAGAAGCCACCGUCUACUUGGCCAGAAUUUGGGUUACCUGAGAAUUUCUCUCCAACAUAUGUCAAUGCUUCUAUGGUGGGUCAAACUUCGAGGCAGGUAUUUCAACCUCCAGUCUUUUCUGAACCUCCACCUGUUGUUCAUACUGUUGCUCAAGUUGUUCCAGCUCGUUAUGACAAUCCUCUUUAUGACUACCGUUCUGUUGGUUCUCGAAGUGUUAGUCAAGGAGACUAUGGUGAAGUGGAAGAAGUCCGUGAGCAAUAUCAGGCAUUGGAAAAGAGACUAAGAGCUAUGGAAGGAAGAAAUUUCUUUAGUGUGAAUGCUGAUAAUAUGGGCCUUGUUUCAAAUCUUGUCAUGCCUUCCAAGUUCAAAGUUCCUGAGUUUGAGAAGUAUAAGGGGCAUACUUGUCCAAGGAGUCAUUUGACCAUGUAUUACAGAAAGAUGACUGCUUAUACCAACAACCAGAAUUUGCUCAUUCAUUGCUUUCAAGACAGUUUAAGUGGUGCUUCUUUGAAGUGGUACAUGAGUUUGGAAAAGGGUUGUGUUCAAGACUUCCAAGAUUUAGCUGAUGCAUUCAUGGAACAAUACAAGUAUAAUUUGGAUAUGGCACCUGACCGUCGUCAACUUCAGAACAUGGCUCAGAAGGAAAAGGAAUCUUUCAAAGAAUAUGCUCAACGUUGGAGAGAAUUGGCUUCCCAAGUUGAACCACCUCUGUCUGAGAAGGAACUGACUAGCUUGUUCAUGGAUACUCUCUCUCCUUUCUUUUGGGAGAAGAUGAUUGGAAGCGUGUCUUUAAACUUCACUGAUUUGGUAACAAUUGGUCAAAGGCUAGAAGAAGGAAUUAGGAAAGGAAAAGUGUCUGUUGCUGCUGAUUCUUCAAAGAAACCUUUUGGGGGCUUCCAAAAGAAGAAAGAAGGUGAAACCAGUGCUAUUGAAAGACCUCGACAAAGAGCUCAACAUUAUGGUCAACCUCAGGUAGCUGUUGUCCAAGUUCCUCAUCAGAAUACCGGUCAGAAUCAGAAUCGUGCUGCAAGGCCUAAAACAGAGUUCGAUCCUAUUCCAAUGACUUAUACUGAAUUGUAUCCUCACUUGGUUCAACUAGGCUUGAUUACUACAAGGUCUUUUACUCCUCGAGAUCCUCCUCCUGCUGGAUUCAGGGCUGAUCUUCACUGUGAGUACCAUCAGGGAGCUGCUGGUCAUGAUUUAGAGCAUUGUUACGUACUGAAGAUUAGAGUGCAAGAGUUGGUCAGGGGAAAGGUGAUAGAUUUCACGGCUCGUACUCCAAAUGUUGUCAACAAUCCUUUUCCAGUUCCUAACAAAUGAAGUUUCAAUCAAAGUCAGAUUCUCUCCUAAAGCCAAGUGUUUCAGACGGGACAGCUCAUCCUUGUUGCUGAUUAGUCAUUAGGCCAUGUUUCUUUACUGUUUGCAUUUCUUUCAAUUGUAAUGUCUGUUUACUUUUCAAACUUGUUUGUUUCCUACUGUUAAUUGUAAAUGAAAUGAGCAUUGCAUGUUUUGAUUCAAUUCUUCUCAUUUACUGCUUUAUUUCUUUCAAAAAAAAAAAAACAAAAAAAUAUGUUUCUUUUAUUUGUUUUAUUUACCAUGUUGUCUAUGCAAAGAUUUGAGGGAGGAUGAUGAAAACAAGAUACCCAUAAUUGUUGAUUAGUGUGCUUUUGAAUAAAACCCUGCUGAUGAUGUACAGGCAUUGUUUCAAAUCCCAAACACUGGAGAAAUAAGGAAGUUAAUCCCUUGUCAACCCCUCAGAGCCUUCGAAGUUGGAGUUUUCUUUUUAAAUGAAAAAACCCGCAAUUUUAACCUGGGGAUGGGUAGUUUUCAGUUUAUUCAUCUUUGCAUUCAAAUACAAGAGUUUCAUUCAAGAUACCUUUCAAUAAGGUCGCAAUUUCAAGCUUUCCUUCGCACACGUCCAAGAAGUGUCGAAGACGUCCUUCAAAGUCAAAAGUGAUGAUGAUGGUUCUCCUCAAUUGUUAAGCAAGGCAGUCACUAUCUUUCAAAAAAAAAAAAAAGAAUUGAAUAAAAAAAAAGUUCAAGAAAAGCCCGCUAAGUCAAAACCUAUGAAGGAGGCUUAGGCAAAAAGUAUAUUGGGGCAUCCCGCUGACUGUAAGUCUCAAAUAAAACAGUUCAGGCAAAAGUUAGGGAAAUCAAAAGAAAAAAGAAGAAAAAAAAGAAGUUAAUAAACUCCAAAACAACAAAAUGUUGUAGAAAAGAAGUUACUGCUAUUUCAAAGUAUAUUCCACGGCUUCUGAAUCAUUAUUGUCAAACAAGUGCUGCAAAUUCCAAGUUCUCUUGAAAACCUGAAUGCAUAGGUUGAAUAAACUGAAUAUAGGAUGGAAGUUCAUCACGAAGAAGAGGUGGGUACAAAUAAAUUUUGAGCCUUAUAUCCUUUGUUUCUGAAACCGUGAACCAGGCCACGUUACAACCUUCAAAAGUCCUAAUUGAAGCCGGGUUUACUUUGAAAGCGUACUACAGCAAGGUUGCGUUAACCUGACUCCUAAAAGUUGUGCCAAUCAUUUGUAUUGAUCUAUUUGCUUUACCUUUCACUUUAAAUUCCAUGUUUCAUCCUUGUCUUUGCUUUACAAUUCUAUUCCUGUUGAUUUCAAAAACUUGCAUGUUCUUUGCAUUUAGGUUACCAGUUUUAAACAAACUUUUUUGCCUGUAAACAGCAUUCCUCCUCAAGGAAUUUCAAACAGUUCAGAAAUUGGUCCGUGAUCUCAUCAGGGGCAUUUCACUUCAAGGUCCUGUUCAAGGUUUAUCUCAGUACAAGCUAUUCUCAGAUUUGGUUUAUCAUAUCUCUUUCAAGACUAAUGCUGGGGCAAGUGUUUCCAAAUGCCCAAUAAAGUUGUCAUUCCAGAUUACUCAAGCUGAGGCCAUGAUCAAUUGUUCUACAUUAAUCAGUCAAGCUGGGGUAAUCUUCUUCAAAAGAAUCUCCAAGCAGUUUAUCAGUCCCUCUCAAAGGAUCAGUUUAGCACAGUUUGCAAGUGUGAUAGAAGAGUUUUGGGCAGCGUUCCAUGUGUUGAGGAAUCAGAUAUCCUUUUCAGCCGCACAAAAGAGUCUCUCUUAGCUGUCACAAAUAAAGACAUUGCAUUGAUCAUUCAUAUCAUUCAUAGAAAAAUUCCAUAUCACGCAUAGAAACAAAUUCAUAUUCAUUUGCAUUUUUCGAGGUCUUGUUGCUAUCAACAUUCUUACCUUGAGAUCAAAGUCCAACUCACUUGGCAUCUAUCCAAUACAGAUUUAUCCCUUUGGUUCAAUUGUCUUUGUUUAUCCGAUGUUUAUUCCGGAUGUGUUUCCUUUACAACCAUGUUUCAUCUUGGUUUCUUUACAACCUUGUUUCAUCUUGGUUCCCUUACAACCAUGUUUCAUCUUGGUUUCCUUACAACCUUGUUUUAUCCUAGUUCCCUUACAACCAUGUUUCAUCUUGGUUUCCUUACAACCUUGUUUCAUCUUGGUUCCCUUUACAACCAUGCUUUAUCUUGGUUCCCUUUACAACCAUGCUUUAUCUUGGUUCCCUUUACAACCAUGCUUUAUCUUGGUUCCCUUUACAACCAUGUUUUAUCUUGGUUCCUUUACAACUUUGUCUCAUCUUGUUUUCCUUACAACCAUGUUUCAUCUUGUUUCUCACCUCAUUCAGAUCCAUUCCUGGAUGUUGUGAUACCUUUCUUCAAUUGUCUCUUACAUCAAGUUUUUUUUUUUUUUUACUCAUCCCAUCAACAGUUUAUUUCUCGUGGCGCUAUAUUCCCCACAGAGAUUCGAGUCAGUCUCAUAUCAUAUCAUUUAAAAGACAAAACAAAAAGAAUUCAUACAUUCAUAUCAUUCUUGGGGCAUCUUAGGCUAAAAAUCGGGUUUUGUUUGUAUUUAAGUAUCUCCUAUCUUCUGAUAGAAGAAACUUAAAUAGGGGCAGCUGUUGCACCCUGAUUUUUACCCUGCGAAUCCAAUUCAUUUGCAUUGUCGCAUUUUAUUCAAUUAUUCUUUAUGUUUACUAACCAUUAAUCCAAAAUUGCAAAAAUAUGUCUUGUUUCUCUUUUAUUGUGUUGGACAGGAACUGAAUUCCGAAUAUCAAGCCUCAGGAGAUGAUUCGAAGAGUUUCAAAGUGAAAGUCAAUGUUUUGAGUUCAUUUCUAGUGGUGGUUUAAAGUUCCAUUCUCCUAGUAUCGUUUUAUGAUUUCAUAUUAAACUUUGGUCUUAAUUCUAAUUUUAUUUCAAAUUGAAAACAUCCUUUUUAAUUUGAUUUAUUGUUAGAAUUAAAAUUAAUUUUUAAUAUAAGAUCAUCUAGUUUUAUUAUUUCUAUUUCACCAUUGUAUUGUUUUUAGUUUGUUUUAUUAUCACUAACAUUUUUAUUUUUUAUAUUGGUACUAUCUUCUUUCCCUUUUAUGUCUUUUUUUAAUAGAAAGUAAAAGAUGCAAAUGGGCCCCUCAAAAGGUGAUGUCACGGUUCUAGGCAAGAAACAAGCCAAGUUCACAAUUUUUUCCCAUGCAGAGAUUCACGAUUUCUACCAGCCAAAGAGGGAGUCACGUUUUUCUCUUCAUCACAAGCUCACGUUUUCAGCCGAGAUUUCCAUAUUCAAUUCAAAUUUCACACUACAAGAGUCACACUUUGUUUGCUUCAAAGACAAAAUUCAGAACUUUCAUGACAAUGCAUCUCAGCCACUCAUCCAAGAAUUAUCAAAGGCUGAGAAUUCAUCAUAGAUUCACACGGAUCACACUCAAAACUUCAUCAAGCUCAUCACUCGUGACUGAAUUUUCCCUCUCAAUUGAUCACACCUUCCUCACUCACUCUCAGCCUAUAAAUUCAGUUUUUCAGAUCAGAGAAAGGGGGGGAGAAAAUUAGCAAUGUUAUGCUGCCAAAAUGGAAACUCAGAAAUUCUCCUCCAAAUACAAAACCUGUUAACCUGAGAAUCCUUCAUACACUUCACUCUGUAAUUUGCAGUUAAUAACACUUUUAGCUCUCAGAUCCACCAACUUCUCAUCGUCAUAGCUCCAACCUUCAUCAUUCAAUCAAUAACAACUUCUGAUUCAUUGAUUCCUUCAACAUCUGUUCACGGAUUAAACUGCAACUACACACCAAUUGAUUCCUUCAAUCGCGUGUGAUAACUCGGCAAGUACAACAAUGAUCAGCAACAUACCAUCAUCACCGACUUGGCGCCGCCACGAUUCAGCACGGUUAUGCGAUGCAUCUUCAAACGAUCUGAGUCAGAGCAACCACGCAGAUCUCAUAUUUCUAGAUUUCAGAAUCAAAUUUCGGAGUAGAAGAGGAGCACGGCUAUUAUCUCACCUCUGGAUUUCUAGACGUCAUCUCCUACAAACUGCAGAUCCAGGAAAUAUAUAAAGAGUAUGCACAAAUCAGCGCUCAUAAGCUUUGUCUCAGAAGGUUCAGCAUGCAACAUCAGAACAUGGUCUGGCAAGACAUCAGAAGAUGGUCAAAGCAGAAUCAGAACAUGGGUCUAUGGAAGCAUCAGAAGAACUUGAGAUCAGAAGCAGAAGCACUGAAGUUCUCAUGGUAUCACGCUCAGAAGCACUUCAAGGUCAGAAGACAAGAAGAUGAUAUGCACCAAGUUGUUUGACUCUGAUGAUAUUCAAACGUUGUAUACACAAACAUCAGAUCAGAAGAAAGUACAGGUGGCAGGCUACGCUGACUGACAAAAGGAACGUUGGAAGCUAUUAAAGGCAACGUUAGUAGACACAGCGUGAACAAGGCUCGAGGUAGUUGACAAAAGCGUGAAACAUUAAAUGCAAUGCUGUACGGAACACGCAAAGCAUUAAAUGCUCCUAAUGGUCAUCUUCUCAAGUGCCUAUAAGUAUGAAGUUCUGAUGAGAAGCAAGGUUAACAACUCUGAACCAAUUCUGUGAAUAUUAACUUGCUGAAACUCUGUUCAACUCAAAGCUCGGAAACUUCAUCUUCAUCAAAGCUCACUACAUUGUUGUUGUAAUAUAUUAGUGAGAUUAAGUAAGAAGGUAGAUCAGAAGUUGUACAGAGGUAUGAUUGGAUCUCUUCUAUACCUAACUGCUUCUAGACCUGACAUUCUCUUCAGUGUUUGUUUGUGUGCUAGAUUCCAAUCAGAUCCGAGAGAAUCUCAUUUAACUGCGGUUAAGAGAAUUCUGAGGUAUCUGAAAGGUACUACUAAUGUUGGUUUAGUUUACAGAAGAUCCAAAGAUUACAACUUAGUAGGAUUCUGUGAUGCUGACUAUGCUGGAGAUAGAAUUGAAAGGAAAAGUACUUCUGGAAGUUGUCAAUUUCUUGGAAGUCAUCUGAUCUCAUGGUAUAGCAAGAAGCAGGCUACAAUUUCCCUCUCAACAACAGAAGCAGAAUAUGUUGCUGCUGCUGGUUGUAGCACACAAAUGCUCUGGAUGAGAAGUCAACUAGAAGAUUAUCAAAUAUAUGAGAGUAACAUUCCUAUUUUCUGUGAUAAUACUUCUGCUAUAUGUUUAUCUAAGAAUCCUAUUUUACAUUCAAAAGCUAAACAUAUUGAGAUUAAACAUCAUUUCAUAAGGGACUAUGUUCAGAAGGGUGUUAUAUCUUUAAAAUUUGUGGAUACAGACCAUCAAUGGGCUGAUAUCUUUACAAAACCCCUUGCUGAAGAUAGGUUUAAGUUCAUUCUGAAGAAUAUCAGUAUGGAUUCAUGCCCAGAAUGAGAAGAUGAGAAGAUCUUAUGUAUGAGUUUCUUCUGAAAUAAGAUUGGAUUAUUCUUUAUAAGAAGUUCUGAUUGUAAUCAAUUAGAAGUAGUGAUUCUGUUAUUACUAACGUUUCAUUGUCUAAGUUGACUCAGAAUCUCUUUAAAAGUAAAACAGCUGUAACUGGCUAUCCAGAUGGUAAACACGUGUUCACUAUUUCUGGACAAGCGUGCGUGCAGUUGAGGGGACGCCUACUUAGGUAACUGUGCUAAUCACUUCUUUUGUCAUUAUUAUCUCUCCUCACGUCACGUAACAUUAAAUGCUAUCCAUCAUUUCAGUUUAUUUUUUUCUUUUAUAUUCUUCAAACGUUUCUUUUUCCCUCUUAUAUUUUUACUCUCUUGCAUUCAGUUUCUUUCUCUCUCUCUCUCUCUCUCUCUCUCUCUCUCUCUCUUUGCAUUCAUAUCAUAAACCCUAGCGGUUUUCACUAUCUACACUUCAUCAUGAAUCCUUCGUCAAGUUCUCCAAAUCAAGAAUCUGAUCGUAAACAAAAGAGAAAGGCAACUGAUGAACCAGAAAACAAACCAAAGAAAGUAAGGAUCACCUACGAUCCUGUCAAGGUGAACCCCUUUGAAGCUAUGAUGUCUGGAAACUACUCUAGACGUGUGUAUCAACCCCCUGAUGGUAGUCCUCAAUCACCUCCCUCUUCACAAACUUCCACCACCUCUUCCUCUUCAUUUACCUCUCUGGAACCACCAUCUUCACCAUCUGAUAUCUCCUCUCCUUCAACCCAUCCCACAGAUAUCUCCUCAUCUCUCUCACACCAUUUUCCCACCAGAACACCUAACCCCUACAACUUUGUGUUUCCUGACUCCAGAUUCACGAUCAACCCUCCAACACCAACCACUCAAUCCUUUCUUGAGGUUUUACAUUCUGAUGUAAAUAGCUGGUUGGAGAUUCUGGGUGCUGCUCAUCUUAACCAUCUAGAUGAGUAUGUUACAUGCAACCUCUAGGAUGCCUUUCGUCAAGAUUUUCUGGUUAGGGCUACGGAUAUUCAGAGAAGGAUCAUGACUGAAGCACCUGGUGUUCGUGGUCUUUGUUUGGAAGUUGGUGAAAGCAGCUAUCACCAUCUCAUCAGGAACAGAAGAGUUCUUAAAGAGAAGAUACCUGCAGAUGAGAUGGAAGAAGAGAAUCCCUGCAGAGACAUAGUGGUUUGGAGACCAUGGUAUCCAGUGCUAACUGGAGAUUUCCAGUGGUUGUUCAAUUGGUUCAGAACGAACCCUUUUGAAAGCGCACCUCACAUGGUCUUUCCAGAAGUGGUUUAUCCUGCUGAAGUUGCUGGUCCUACUCCUCCAACAAACCUAGCAGCUAUUCUUCAGGCGUUGGAAGUUGGAGCUUAUGAGUUGCCUGAACUAGAAUAUGCUGAGGCUGCUCCUGAGUCAGACUCAGAUGUUGAGAUGGAAGGUACAGAAGCUGAAGACCUUCCAGAAGAUCGUCCUGCUGAGAUUGUUGUCCCUGUUGGCAGAAAUUCUGGUGUUCCUUCUUCUGGUGAAACCUCAGCUCUGAUGGAGACCUUGGAAGCUCUUCGUCAGAAUCAAGUUAUGCUGGCUUCUCGUUUAAACGCGCAAGAAACAGCCAAUGCUGAGUUUCGUUCCUUCAUGACAAGGCAAACUGCAAGCACUGACGAGAUUCAUGACAUACUGGCGCAGAUUUUGUCCAAGCUAGGGUCUUAGUCUUUGCGUCUUUGUAGUUUUCUUUCCUUGUUGCAUCUGUUUUUUUUCUGCAUACAUCCUUUGUAAUUCUGGUUGAUUAAUCAAUGAAAAAAUUUUGUUUCUUUCCUUUGUCGUUUUCUAUAUCUGAAUAUUUUAUAUUCUUUUUGAUGUUAUGACAAAAAGGGGGAGAAAAUAUAUGAUAAAUGAUCUGAUUAAUAUUAUCAGUUACCGGGUAAAAAGGCCCCACAUUACUAACAGAACUUGAAGAGUUCUAUGAUUUUAAGUUGUGUUGUUGCAGGAAUUGAAGAUUCUCUUUACAAGAUCAACAUAAGAAGCAACAAGAUGAAUCAAGUUCUUGGAUUCUUGAAGCAAGCUGAGUGCUAUGAAGCUUCAGAAUCAGAAGCAAGAAGGAAAAAUGUUCAGAUAUUCUAAUGAUAGAAUAUGCCUUGAAACAUUAUGUUUAUGUGUUCUGACACAUACCAUAUGGCUCUGAUACAUAUUAUGUGUUUUGAAACAUAUUCUAUGUUUUGACUCUUUCAUGCUGACUUUUGUCGUUUAGCUUUGUUCUGUAACAUUUCAGGAUGUAGAGAUGCUCUGAUGAUGCUCUGGUACAUUCAACAAUGUUCUGAUACAAUCUAGCAUGAAGUGAUGUAAGAAGAAAUUCAAGUUCUGAAGCUGUCCAAUGGAAGCAAGAAUCAGAAGCUGUGAAUGUUUUGAAGAUCAAAGAAAUUCAAGUUCUGAAGUUGUCCGAUGGAAGCAGAAAUCAGAAGUUGUGAAUGUUCUGUGGAUCUAAAGAAAUUCAAUGUUCUGAAACUGUCCUAUGGAAGCAGAAAUCAGAAGUCAUGAAUGUUCUGAAGAUCAAGCACUGUGAACGUCUCUACUGAAAUACUCAGGGAAGUCUUUUUUCUUCUAGUAUUUAUUUCAGGGGGAGAUUGUUAAUCUCAGGGGGAGACAUAUUCACAUGCUUAUGCUUAGCUGUGUAAAUUGUCUUUAUCUGUCUGCUCUUUCUAAUCGCAAAUUCAUAUCAUUUAUAUAUCUUUUUGUCAUCAUCAAAAAGGGGGAGAUUGUUAGAACAAGAUUUGUUCUGAUCAAUAUUCUUAGUUUUGAUGAUAACAAGGAUAUGAAUUUUGUGUGAGAUAAUGUGGUACUCUAAUACAUUGCAAUUUCCUUUUCAGGAAAUAUAUAAAGAGUAUGCACAAAUCAGCGCUCAGAAGCUUUGUCUCAGAAGGUUCAGCAUGCAACAUCAGAACAUGGUCUGGCAAGACAUCAGAAGAUGGUCAAAGCAGAAUCAGAACAUGGGUCUAUGGAAGCAUCAGAAGAACUUGAGAUCAGAAGCAGAAGCACUGAAGUUCUCAUGGUAUCACGCUCAGAAGCACUUCAAGGUCAUAAGACAAGAAGAUGUUAUGCACCAAGCUGUUUGACUCUGAUGAUAUUCAAACGUUGUAUACACAAACAUCAGAUCAGAAGAAAGUACAGGUGGCAGGCUACGCUGACUGACAAAAGGAACGUUGGAAGCUAUUAAAGGCAACGUCAGUAGACACAGCGUGAACAAGGCUCAAGGUAGUUGACAACAGCGUGAAACAUUAAAUGCAAUGCUGUACGGAACACGCAAAGCAUUAAAUGCUCCCAACGGUCAUCUUCUCAAGUGCCUAUAAGUAUGAAGUUCUGAUGAGAAGCAAGGUUAACAACUCUGAACCAAUUCUGUGAAUAUUAACUUGCUGAAACUCUGUUCAACUCAAAGCUUAGAAACUUCAUCUUCAUCAAAGCUCACUACAUUGUUGUUGUAAUAUAUUAGUGAGAUUAA